rnacentral:rRNA from 1 species
AUUGAACGCUGGCGGCAGGCCUAACACAUGCAAGUCGAGCGGAUGACGGGAGCUUGCUCCUUGAUUCAGCGGCGGACGGGUGAGUAAUGCCUAGGAAUCUGCCUGGUAGUGGGGGACAACGUUUCGAAAGGAACGCUAAUACCGCAUACGUCCUACGGGAGAAAGCAGGGGACCUUCGGGCCUUGCGCUAUCAGAUGAGCCUAGGUCGGAUUAGCUAGUAGGUGAGGUAAUGGCUCACCUAGGCGACGAUCCGUAACUGGUCUGAGAGGAUGAUCAGUCACACUGGAACUGAGACACGGUCCAGACUCCUACGGGAGGCAGCAGUGGGGAAUAUUGGACAAUGGGCGAAAGCCUGAUCCAGCCAUGCCGCGUGUGUGAAGAAGGUCUUCGGAUUGUAAAGCACUUUAAGUUGGGAGGAAGGGCAGUAAGUUAAUACCUUGCUGUUUUGACGUUACCGACAGAAUAAGCACCGGCUAACUCUGUGCCAGCCGCCGCGGUAAGAC